GAUGAAGAACGCAGCAAAAUGCGAUAAGUAAUGUGAAUUGCAGAAUUCAGUGAAUCAUCGAAUCUUUGAACGCACAUUGCGCCCGCUGGUAUUCCGGCGGGCAUGCCUGUUCGAGCGUCAUUUCAACCCUCAAGCCCCCGGGUUUGGUGUUGGGGUUCGGCUCUGCCCUUCUGGGCGGUGCCGCCCCCGAAAUACAUUGGCGGUCUCGCUGCAGCCUCCAUUGCGUAGUAGCUAACACCUCGCAACUGGAACGCGGCGCGGCCAUGCCGUAAAACCCCAACUUCUGAAUGUUGACCUCGGAUCAGGUAGGAAUACCCGCUGAACUUAAGCAUAUCAAUAAGCGGAGGA
rnacentral:misc_RNA from 1 species